AUUGAACGCUAGCGGGAUGCCUUACACAUGCAAGUCGAACGGAGUGGCGAACGGGGGAGUAAUGUAUCGGAACGUGCCCAGUAGCGGGGGAUAGCUACGCGAAAGCGUAGCUAAUACCGCAUACUAUUGGAGCGGCCGAUAUCGGAUUAGCUAGUGGGGGGGGUAACGGCUCACCAAGGCGACGAUCCGUAGCUGGUUUGAGAGGAUGACCAGCCACACUGGAACUGAGACACGGUCCAGACUCCGACGGGAGGCAGCAGGGGGGAAUUUUGGACAAUGGGGGAAAGCCUGAUCCAGCCAUGCCGCGUGUGUGAUGAAGGCCUUCGGGUUGUAAAGCACUUUUGGCAGGAAAGCGGUACCUGCAGAAUAAGCACCGGCUAACUACGUGCCAGCAGCCGCGGUAAUAC
rnacentral:rRNA from 1 species